CUUCCUACGGGACGCAGCAGUGGGGAAUAUUGCACAAUGGGGGGAACCCUGAUGCAGCGACGCCGCGUGAGCGAUGAAGUAUUUCGGUAUGUAAAGCUCUAUCAGCAGGGAAGAAAAUGACGGUACCUGACUAAGAAGCCCCGGCUAACUACGUGCCAGCAGCCGCGGUAAUACGUAGGGGGCAAGCGUUAUCCGGAUUUACUGGGUGUAAAGGGAGCGUAGACGGCUGUGCAAGUCUGGAGUGAAAGGCCGGGGCCCAACCCCGGGACUGCUCUGGAAACUGCCUGGCUGGAGUACAGGAGAGG
rnacentral:rRNA from 1 species